rnacentral:lncRNA from 1 species
UUCAAAUCUGCUCUGUGUAAAGGAUCGUUCAACUCUGUGAGUUGAAUACACACAACACAAGGAAGUUACUGAGAAUUCUUCUGUCUAGCAGAAUAUGAAGAAAUCCCGUUUCCAACGAAGGCCUCAAAGAGGUCUGAAUAUCCACUUGCAGACUUUACAAACAGAGUGUUUCCUAACUGCUAUAUGAAAAGAAAGGUUAAACUCUGUGAGUUGAACGCACACAUCAUAAAGGAGUUUCUGACAAUCGUUCUGUCUAGUUUUUAUUGGAAGAUAUUUCCUUUUCUACCAUUGACCUCAAAGCGGCUGAAAUCUCCACUUGCAAAUUCCACAAAAAGAGUGUUUCAAGUCUGCUCAAAGUAAAGGAUUCAACUCACAGAGUUGAAUACACACAACACAAGGAAGUUACUGAGAAUUCUUCUGUCUAGCAUAGUAUGAAGAAAUCCCGUUUCCAACGAAGGCCUCAAAGAGGUCUGAAUAUCCACUUGCAGAGUUUACAAACAGAGUGUUUCCUAACUGCUCUAUGAAAAGAAAGGUUAAACUCUGUGAGUUGAACGCACACAUCACAAAGAAGUUUCUGAGAAUCAUUCUGUCUAGUUUUUAUACGAAGAUAUUUCC